AUGAGAUCAUUGUCCUCCAAGACCGCAGGACUCCAAGGGCGGCUGGGCUGCCGACAGGGCCAGCAGCAGCCUCCACACGGUUCAUCCUGUGUCUUCGGCACAGAGCCCAGAGACCGGCUGGGCACGGCGGCCCCAGCCCCCCAGCCGGGGAAGAAUGAGAAGGGGGUCGCCAGGGUGGGCCAGGGCUGCCGUGGAGCCCAGGCCCGGCACGCUCCCCUGUGUGCAGGCUGCACGGACUGGCCACACCUGGCCUGGGCCCGCGGGGGCAGCAGGCUGCAGGACGGCCACACGAGGCCUCGCAGGAGUGCACGCGGGGAGCGGGGCCGGCGGCAGCACACGCUGGGAGGGCCCCCCAUCGCGGCCUCCCCGAGUGGACGCUCAGCCUUUCCUGGGGUUCCGGGACACACAGGCCUGCAGGACAUGCCCGCACCCCAGGAAGAGACCCAGCGGCAGGACACGGGCUCAGGAAGGGGUGUGAGGACGGUGCGGGAGGCCCCCUGCCCUCAGGACGCCCAGGGCGGGCCGGGGCGCUCUCGGCCCCGCACACUCACCCCAGGGCACUCCUCCAGGCAGUGGGACACUGGGAACAAGGGAACGUGCCACGAGGACCCCGGCAUCCACGUCUCAGGCACGUGGCCACGCAGGCUGCGGCUUCUCGUGCCCAAAGCAGCCACGACCCUUUCCUCGCAGGGCUGCGUCGGGGACAGCGGUGAUGGCGGCCGGCGCCCCCUCCCUUCCUGGGGCAUCCCGGUGACCACCACGGUGUGUGCGGCACAGGCCGAGUAUCUGGACGCAAAAAUAUCAGCCAUGGUUACUGACGGUUCACCUCAGCCGUCCGGGAGCCUGUCCCCGAGAGCUGUGGACAGCCAGGACGGGCUCCUGAUGGAGGCCCCUGGGGUGUCUGUUCCCUGCACAGGCACACAGGGGAGCAAGAGAAUGCCCAACACUGACUCGCGGAAGACAAGGGCCGAGAACCUCAGACACGACAGGGCUAGGCCAGCGCCCAAGGCCGAGAGGGUGGAGGACUGCACAGAGGGCGCGGACAGGGCCCUGAGCAUGGAUCUGUUUGCGGCCAAGCAAGGCAGUGACCGCAGCCCAGGGUCAGGGGAAAGCACCCGCGAGCCGCCCCUGUGCUGGACUGGAUGGCAGGCGGCACCGGCCACAUCCUCAGCCACCAGCCAGGGCCUGUCCGUGUUCCCCCUGACCCCCUGCUGCAAAGGCAUGGCCGGUGCCACCGCGGUGAGUCUGGGCUGCCUCGUCACGGGCUACCUCCCGAUGCCGGUGACCGUGACCUGGGACACGGGGUCCCUAAACAAGAGUGUCGCCACCGUCCCCGCCACCUUCGACCAGACCUCCGGCCUCCACAACGCCAUCAGCCAGGUGACCUCCUGGGGCGAGUGGGCCAAACACACGUUCACCUGCAGCGUGGCUCUCGCGGCAUCCCCCGCCAUCAACAAGACCUUCAGAGCCUGUGCCAUGAACUUCAGCCCGCCCUCCGUGAAGCUCUUCCACUCCUCCUGCAACCCGCUGGGCGACACCCACACCACCAUCCAGCUCCUGUGUCUCAUCUCCGGCUACGUCCCGGGGGACAUGGAGGUCAUCUGGCUGGUGGACGGGCAGAGGGUCACAAACACGUUCUCCUACACUGCGCCCGGCACACAGGAGGGCAACGUGACCUCCACCCACAGCGAGCUCAACAUCACCCAGGGCGAGUGGGUGUCCCAGAAAACCUACACCUGCCGGGUCAGCUACCAAGGCUUCAACUUUGAGGACCAUGCGCUCAAGUGCACAGAGUCCGACCCCCGCGGCGUGAGCAGCUACCUGAGCCCGCCCAGCCCUCUGGACCUGUACGUCCACAAGUCGCCCAAGAUCACCUGCCUGGUGGUGGACCUGGCCAGCACGGAGGGCAUGAGCCUGACCUGGUCCCGGGAGAGCGGGGAACCCGUGCACCCAGACGGACAGAAGGAGGAAACUCAGUUCAACGGGACGGUCAGCGUCACGUCCAGCCUGCCAGUGGACACACAGGACUGGAUCGAGGGCGAGACCUACCACUGCACGGUGAACCACCCGGACCUGCCCAAGAGAAUCGUGCGCUCCAUUGCCAAGACCCCCGGCCAGCGAGCGGCCCCGGAGGUCUACGUGUUCCUGCCCCCGGAGGAGGACAAGGGGACCACGGACAGGGCCACCCUCACGUGCCUGGUCCAGAACUUCUUUCCCGCGGACAUCUCAGUGCAAUGGCUUCGAAAUGACAGGCCCGUCCAGCCGGGCCAGCAGGCCACCACGCGGCCCCACGCGGUCCCGGGCGCCAGGCGCGCCUUCUUCGUCUUCAGCCGCCUGGAGGUCAGCCGGGGGGACUGGGAGGAGCGGAACAGCUUCGCCUGCCAAGUGGUACACGAGGCCCUGCCCGAGUCGCGAGUCAUCAAGAAAACGGUCUCCAAAACCCCGGGUAAAUGAUGCGCCCUCCCCCGCCGGCCUCCCCACGCCCCAGGCGCCUGCGGCCGGGACAGGGGAGGGGGCCGGCCAGACCCUCCCUCCCUCCUUGUCAAUAAACACCGCAGUGUCCGCUCA